GGGUGAUUGGCGCAGUGGUAGCGCGCUUCGUUCACACCGAAGAGGUCACUGGUUCGAACCCAGUAUCACCCACCA
rnacentral:tRNA from 1 species